UCUAACUCAGGUUUCCAGCCAUCAUGAUUAAAGGAUUCUGCAGGGCUUUCUCCACCCACUGAAGUUUGAAAGCAGGAAGGGGAAGGAGCAUUUCGCAGAAUCAUCUCGCUCCAGCUGCCAGGUUUCAUCUUUAACGCAUGUAUUACUCUUGAAUCUUGUAGAAUGAUAACUCUAAUGCCAAACUUGUCAGCCGCAACGCAAUAGAGUACAGACAAAAGAAGCAGAACACCAACAAUAGCUCUCCGAUGAAAAGCAUCCAGCUGGUAGCCUUUAACUAGAACACGCACACCGAACCCUAAACCCUAAAACGGGCAGAAAGAAAGACGUCGGGGUUUUAAAACUGAAUAAUAAGCCUCCAUAGUCGGGGCAGAAUCUCGAAAUUUGGAGAAACAAUAAGCGCUUCUAACGGCAGAAGCAAUGUGCGCAAUGGUUAGCCACUGUGGCUGUCGCCUACUUCGUUCUCUUCCUUUGUAUGAGCUUAAUUCUAUGAAGAAUGUCAUAAAUUGAUUGACCAGUUAGAUACAUGGCAGAUCUAGCAAAGAUACUUCUGUUAGUUCGGGCAUAUGUCUCUUCCUCCCUCUUUAUUUUAAGACUCAAGAUUUGGAACUUCACAAAAUUUUUGAUUGAAGGAGUUUAAGCAUAUAAGAAGCGAUUUUGAAUGCACAAAGUAUCAGAUUCUUUUAGUUGGCCUUCCUCUGGAUGCUGGUGAUAUUCUGAUAAGGUAAUGGCUUCUCACCUUCCCCUUCUAGUGGUGGUGCUCCCUCCUAAACUCUUCUUAGUGUAUUAAAGACCAGCAUUCGGCCUUUGCCAGAGGGUUGCAUGCACUCUCUCCCCACCUCUUCCUUUGAAAUCCCAUCCACUUCACCCCAACAUCCAUAAAGCCCUCUUAGUUAGGGAGAUCUAUAAAUCUGAUCUCUCCUCUUCACAAAUCUUAACGUUUUUCCUUCUAUUCCCUCCACCUUUUGUUCAAUUCUUGAGGUUCUAUCCCCUAACGCAAACCUUCAGGAAGUGAGAAUGUUGCCGCUUCAUAAUGGCCCCUGUCCUCCAUCUUAGAAAGGAAGCCCUAAUUGGAAUGAUCUAUUAUGUGCCCACGGUGCAAGGAGUUCAAAAAUUUCCCUAGCCUUCAUGUAAAGUGAUGAACAGAAAUUACUAUUCUCUACAAAAGAUCUAUUCGAAAGAGGAAAAGAGUGGAAGCUACCUCUCAUCGGGCAUGCUGCAGAUAGCAACCUUACUAUGAAUCUCUCCUCACUAUAGUGAAAAGCAAUGGAACUUUUAAAGGUAAUAUCGAUCUACACACACUUGUUGGUGUUUUUUUCUCAUUUAAAUUUAAUUGUUAGGAGGACAAUGAGUUACUAUGGAACAACAAUCCCCAAUUUUUUUAAGGUAAAAUCCUUCAUCUUUAUUAUGUGGAAUUUGUUGAGAUUCCUAUAUGGAUUAAACUCCCAAACUCCCCUGUAUUGCUAUUGGAAUAAGGAAGACUUAUCCAAGGUGACUUGCAAAGUUUGGAUUCCUGUUACUGCUGAUAUCUUGAUUGAAUCAAAAUCCCAUCUGACUUUUUCUAGUGUCUGUUGAUUUCUCCCUCCUAUUUCAUACCGGAAUCCUUUCUCAUCAACCUUAAUGAAAGGAAAAUCUGUCGAUAGAUUGUAUAUGAUUGGAGGCCUUCUGUAUGCAAAUCAUGUUAUAUAUUUCUUUAUAAUGCGAAGUCCUAUCCUCAAACAAACCCUAUCCUCACAAUACUUUGGCACAUGAUAGAAGUCGGAGGAGGGACGCAGGUGAUAAAAGUGGUAGGAUGCCCUCACUCAGUUCUGGUCUUGUUAAUCAGACCCACACUUCAUCUAUUGCUGCAAGCCUGAUUUUAUUGAGUGGUGUUCUGCCAUGGUAAAUGAGCUUAUUAAACCCACCUCUUUUGAGUUCCAGUCUAUUACUGUUUCUCUUACAGGAAAUGCCUCUACUUCACAUAUAAAUGCUGCCCAUUGUCUUACACGAUUUCAGAUGUUUCACUAAUACAUUUUCCUAGAAACCAAACAAACCUCACCAUCGAUUUAACAUUACUAGUUCUGCCUAGCCCUUUUAUUAUUCCUAAGGAGGUUGUUUUUGGAUUACAUAACCAAACGCAUGAUGCUGCUAGACAAAUAGGAAAACAUCUAAGAAUGUCUUCUUUGCUUCAAAAGGUAAAAGGGCUGAUCAGAAAAGCUCCAACUCCACCGCUUUAUGUCCUUAUCAUGCAUCUUGAAACUUAAGAGGGCUCCAUGAUUCAAAUUUAGACCUUAUUUGUCAGUUGGAGAUUCAGUUGAAUAUUGAGUUUCUUCAUUAAGAGAAGAAUGCUGCUAUUUCCUAAUGAAAAAGGUUAUGAUAAUUUCUGUUGCUUAUCGGAGAAGAAUUUGCAUAAAAUGAAAUAAAUCUCAUAUCUUGGUCA